rnacentral:lncRNA from 1 species
GACUCAUAUAUAGGCUAGGGCUACUAAUACUAUACUCUUCUGUGUAUAGAACCCUUUGUACUUAUAAGCUUUCGAUUAUUGGAUGAAGGGAUGUGCGGUUAGGAUAAUAGUAGUCUUCGGUUAGGUUAAUAGUGGUCUCCUAGGGUUGAGUGAGUAGUUGGUUGAAUAGUAUGAUCUAAUGGGUGGAAAUGAUCAAAGAAGUAGAUCUAACGGCCGAAAACUUAUGAGUACAAAGGGGCUUAUACUCAUAAGAGUAUAGUAGCUGGACAGCCUGGACUCUAUAUAUAUAUAUAUAUAUAUAUAUAUAUAGAGAUAUAGAGAGAGAGAGAGAGAGAGAGAGAGAGAGAGAGAGAGAGAGAG